GGGUGCCUGAGGCUUUCUGACUUCAGGCUACUGCGGAGGUCGGAGAGAGGAGGCCCCAGGAAGAUGUUAACUAUCAACCUGAGGCUGACUACCCGACCCAAACAAUCGGAUAGUAGCCUCUUCUUCGCAUGGAGGCAACGCGAUGCUGACAAAAUA
rnacentral:antisense_RNA from 1 species